rnacentral:misc_RNA from 1 species
GGCCCACACCCCUCAGAUUCUCCGUCCUCAACCCUACAAGUACCCUUUGAUAUAAUUGGAUAUCACUCCCCCGCCCGCUCCAAACACACUCCACUUUAGCCUGCUAGGCAGAGGUAUGGCUCGCGUUCGCGUUGCCUUCCUUUCUUCGAUCCUGCUUCUGCUCUUCUGCGUCGCUGCUGCUGGAUCAACCUUUGACGACUCUAAUCCUAUCAGACUUGUGUCAGAUCGUCUUCGUGACUUCGAAGCUUCUGUCGUCAAAGUUAUCGGUCACACCCGCCGCGCUCUUUCCUUCGCCCGUUUUGCUCACAGGUAUGGGAAGAGUUAUGAGACUGAGGAGGAGAUGAAGCUGAGGUUCGCCAUUUUCUCGGAGAAUUUGGAUUUGAUCAGAUCCAUCAACAAAAAGGGCCUGCCUUACGCUCUUGCCAUUAACGAUUUCGCUGAUUGGACCUGGCAAGAGUUCCAAAAGCACAGAUUGGGAGCUGCACAGAACUGCUCUGCCACCACAAAGGGCAAUCACAAGCUUACUGACGCUGUCGUUCCUGAAACGGUGCCUAUCCUGUUGAAGCUCUUAAUUGUUUAGCUGAAAACUUUUCAGUUUCUUUACUUUUAGAAAAAAGAACCAAUUUUUAAAUGGUAUUUAAAUGCCUUGCAUAAAUAACGUGGAGUUAUGGACCCAUGAGCCAAAACUUCAAUUACGUACGCUAGCAUCUAUAUCAUUCGAUGGAAAGUUUUUGCCUACACCCAGUAGGCCAUGUACCCAAAAACAUGUGGAGAGUCGAGUCCAUGAUGUAUGGGUCCAAGCAAGAAAUAUCCAUCAUUCGUAUAUACUUUGUCACUGCUGGAGUAACUAUAAUUGGUCCCCAGGGCUUCAUGCCGCCAUUAUGUAAUGAUAUUGAAACAGCUCUGAUGUUUUCAAGUUAGAUGAUGACUUAACCUUUGCCAUCAUCGCUCUAUGAUAUAUGGCAAGAUACUUUAAGAAACUGGCUAUGUUUAUAAUAAAAUUGUUUUGAACUAAAACUAUGAGAUUGUAUAUAAAUUAUUUGCUUAAAAAAUGGUGGUUGAAUCCCCUACUUAUGCAUAGAAAGAUCAGGUCUUUAACAGAUACUGGGUAUGCAUCAUCUGAAUUCUGACCAUGUAAAACUGUAAUCUGAUGUCUGUAUUCUGAUGCUGUGGGUAUAGAAAGACUGGAGGGAAGAAGGCAUCGUCAGCCCAGUUAAGAAUCAAGGCCAUUGUGGUUCUUGCUGGACUUUCAGCACCACUGGAGCUCUUGAGGCAGCCUAUCAUCAGGCUUUUGGAAAGGGAAUCUCUUUGUCUGAGCAGCAGCUUGUGGAUUGUGCUGGAGCUUUUAAUAACUUUGGAUGCAAUGGUGGAUUGCCAUCGCAAGCUUUUCAAUACAUCAAAUACAAUGGUGGUCUUGAAACCGAGGAAGCAUAUCCCUACACUGGAAAAGAUGGUACAUGCAAAUUCUCAUCGGAAAAUGUUGGUGUUCGGGUGCUUGAUUCUGUCAACAUUACCCUUGUACGUUACAUGCACAAUUCUCCCAAAUAAUUUUGUGUUAAUUCUGGUGUUUGAUGUGGGGGGAAAUAUCUCAUUGAGUUGAGUCGAGUGUGGGUGGAAUAUGCAAUUUCAGAAUUAAAUGUGGCUGAAAUUUCUGAUGCAUAUGGGCUAUUUUUAUUCUGCUUAGGCUAUGUCACCAUUGGUGUAGCUUAAGAACUGGAUUAAGGCUAACACGUGAUACGUUUGUGCUGUCUACUGCUCAUUCCUAAUGAUCUAAUAUCAUACAACUUGCUCUAUAGCACCCUCCUCCACUAUUCUUAAAACCCACUUUUGAAGCUCCAAUGGGCUGGACGCCUUCUAUUCUCAUCUUUUAGCUGAGCCAGUUCAUUCUAAUUCGCUUGAUAGAUCUCAUAAAUGGAUUAACCUUAAUUUUUUACUCUGAUAAAAUAUUAAAAUUUAUUAUCCUUUAUAGAUUCCUUUUAAGUUUGCUUAAUGCUGAAUUUACAUGCAGGGUGCUGAAGAUGAAUUAAAGCAUGCAGUUGCAUUUGUUCGUCCUGUGAGUGUGGCUUUUGAAGUUGUAAGUGGUUUCCGUUUUUACAAGGAUGGAGUUUACACCAGUGAUACUUGUGGCAAAACUCCAAUGGUGAGUUCUUUUAUUUAUUUAUAAUGGAAAUGAAAUUUUAUUCAGAUGAGAAUAACUGGAACACUUUAUUUAAAAGCUUUUUGGGAUCAAAUUUUGAGGAUGUACAUAGUUUGUACUCGAGUUUUGUAGAGGGUAUGCUCAAGAACCAUACAUCCAUAUCUGAUCAGUAGUCACACCUCUAAUAUGAUAUAUCAGUUCAGAUGUUUUUCAUGGCAACAUUUAGGCGUUGAGAUUCAUGCUUGUUAACUAUUAAUCACAUUGGAUAUCUGGGUUAUUUUUCUUAACAGUGUGCAAAGGCGCAAAUCCUUCUAUGAUGCAUUAGAUCUUUUCUAACAUUCUCCAAGUUCUAUGGCAGGAUGUGAACCAUGCAGUUCUGGCAGUUGGGUAUGGAGUCGAAAAUGGUGUUCCAUAUUGGCUAAUUAAGAACUCUUGGGGUGAUAAUUGGGGUGAUAAUGGCUAUUUUAAGAUGGAAUUGGGGAAAAAUAUGUGUGGUGUUGCAACUUGCGCAUCAUACCCUGUUGUAGCUUAAUACAACUGUGAAGAAACGGGAGCUAUUUGAUGAGUAAUUUGUGGUAAUAAGAUUUGUGUUUCAGUAGCUCAUGAAGUUACGAAUCUGUCUCUGGGGUGAAAAGUCAUUGUGUGAAGAUGAUUGUGUUGGCUUCAUGUAUAAAAUAAGACCCUGGAUGCAAUCUAAUGUACACUAGACAAGAAAGAACUCGUGUAAAUUCCGAAUUUCGAUUGUGUCAUGUGAAGUCCUAUAUCAGUGCAUAAUAGGAAACUCAAUUCUCCAAUAUUUGCAGCAUGUGUAUAUUUUUUAUGAUGUGAUUCUAGCAUAGUUGCAGAAGCACCCUCCAUUUUCCAAUGAAAUUUCGUAUUCUAUCUUGGCUGCAAUAUGGCAAUAUCACCAGUGCUGUGUGUCUGGCUACGGUGGCUUCCCCACUUCUUGUUAAAAAUUGUGAUAAAACGGUAAUAUAACGGUGCAAGUUUUCGUUCACUGAAUUUUAAGUUUCUCUGUAGU